GUAGGGAAUAUUGGUCAAUGGACGAAAGUCUGAACCAGCCAUUCCGCGUGCAGGAAGAAGAUUCUAUGGAUUGUAAACUGCUUUUAGCAGAGAAGAAACGCCUUCAUUGAUGAGGGUUUGACGGUAUCUGCGGAAUAAGCACCGGCUAACUCCGUGCCAGCAGCCGCGGUAAUACGGGGGGUGCAAGCGUUAUCCGGAAUCACUGGGUUUAAAGGGUACGUAGGCGGUUAAUUAAGUCAGUAGUGAAAGACUGUCGCUCAACGACGGAUGUGCUAUUGAUACUGGUUAACUUGAAUCAGGUUAGAGUUGGCGGAAUGGGUCAUGUAGCGGUGAAAUGCUUAGAUAUGACUUGGAACACCGAUAGCGAAGGCAGCUGACUGAGCCUUGAUUGACGCUGAGGUACGAAAGUGUGGGUAGCGAACAGGAUUAGAUACCCGUGUAGUCC
rnacentral:rRNA from 1 species